UACAGAGGUCUCAAGCGUUUGUUCGGAUUCAUUGGGCGUAAAGGGUGCGUAGGCGGCGCGGUAAGUCGGGUGUGAAAUCUUGGAGCUUAACUCCGAAACUGCAUUCGAUACUGCCGUGCUUGAGGACUGGAGAGGAGACUGGAAUUUACGGUGUAGCGGUGAAAUGCGUAGAUAUCGUAAGGAAGACCAGUGGCGAAGGCGGGUCUCUGGACAGUUCCUGACGCUGAGGCAACGAAGGCCCAGGGGGAGCAAACGGG
rnacentral:rRNA from 1 species